GAUGAACGCUGGCGGCGUGCCUAAUACAUGCAAGUCGAGCGAACAGACGAGGAGCUUGCUCCUCUGACGUUAGCGGCGGACGGGUGAGUAACACGUGGAUAACCUACCUAUAAGACUGGGAUAACUUCGGGAAACCGGAGCUAAUACCGGAUAAUAUAUUGAACCGCAUGGUUCAAUAGUGAAAGACGGUUUUGCUGUCACUUAUAGAUGGAUCCGCGCCGCAUUAGCUAGUUGGUAAGGUAACGGCUUACCAAGGCAACGAUGCGUAGCCGACCUGAGAGGGUGAUCGGCCACACUGGAUCUGAGACACGGUCCAGACUCCUACGGGAGGCAGCAGUAGGGAAUCUUCCGCAAUGGGCGAAAGCCUGACGGAGCAGCGCCGCGUGAGUGAUGAAGGUCUUCGGAUCGUAAAACUCUGUUAUUAGGGAAGAACAAAUGUGUAAGUAACUAUGCACGUCUUGACGGUACCUAAUCAGAAAGCCACGGCUAACUACGUG
rnacentral:rRNA from 1 species